UCCCUGGGGGUCCAGUGGGUAGGAUUCCGCGCUCCCAACGCAGGGGGCCUGGGUUUGAUCCCUGGUCAGGGAA
rnacentral:tRNA from 1 species